rnacentral:tRNA from 1 species
GCGCCCGUAGCUCAACUGGAUAGAGCGGCUGGCUUCGAACCAGUAGGUCGCAGGUUCAACUCCUGCCGGGCGCGCCA